UGGGGAAUUUUGGACAAUGGGCGCAAGCCUGAUCCAGCCAUGCCGCGUGUCUGAAGAAGGCCUUCGGGUUGUAAAGGACUUUUGUCAGGGAAGAAAAGGGCGGGGUUAAUACCCCUGUCUGAUGACGGUACCUGAAGAAUAAGCACCGGCUAACUACGUGCCAGCAGCCGCGGUAAUACGUAGGGUGCGAGCGUUAAUAGGAAUUACUGGGCGUAAAGCGGGCGCAGACGGUUACUUAAGCAGGAUGUGAAAUCCCCGGGCUCAACCUGGGAACUGCGUUCUGAACUGGGUGACUAGAGUGUGUCAGAGGGAGGUAGAAUUCCACGUGUAGCAGUGAAAUGCGUAGAGAUGUGGAGGAAUACCGAUGGCGAAGGCAGCCUCCUGGGAUAACACUGACGUUCAUGCCCGAAAGCGUGGGUAGCAAACA
rnacentral:rRNA from 1 species